GAUGAACGCUAGCUACAGGCUUAACACAUGCAAGUCGAGGGGAAACGAUAGAGAAAGCUUGCUUUUUCUAGGCGUCGACCGGCGCACGGGUGAGUAACGCGUAUCCAACCUGCCCACCACUUGGGGAUAACCUUGCGAAAGUAAGACUAAUACCCAAUGACGUCCAUAGAAGACAUCUGAAAUGGAUUAAAGAUUUAUCGGUGAUGGAUGGGGAUGCGUCUGAUUAGCUUGUUGGCGGGGUAAGGGCCGACCAAGGCGACGAUCAGUAGGGGUUCUGAGAGGAAGGUCCCCCACAUUGGAACUGAGACACGGUCCACACUCCUACGGGAGGCAGCAGUGAGGAAUAUUGGUCAAUGGGCGAGAGCCUGAACCAGCCAAGUAGCGUGCAGGAUGACGGCCCUAUGGGUUGUAAACUGCUUUUAUAAGGGAAUAAAGUGAGUCUCGUGAGACUUUUUGCAUGUACCUUAUGAAUAAGGACCGGCUAAUUCCGUGCCAGCCGCCGCCGUAA
rnacentral:rRNA from 1 species